rnacentral:rRNA from 1 species
UACGUAGGGGGCUAGCGUUAUCCGGAUUCAUUGGGCGUAAAGGGCGCGUAGGCGGCUUGGUAAGUCAGAUGUGAAAACCGGGGGCUCAACCCGCGGCCUGCAUCUGAAACUGCCAGGCUUGAGUCUGGUAGAGGAAAGUGGAAUUCCUAGUGUAGCGGUGGAAUGCGCAGGUAUUAGGAGGAACACCAGUGGCGAAGGCGGCUUUCUGGGCCACGACUGACGCUGAUGCGCGAAAGCUAGGGGAG